rnacentral:rRNA from 1 species
UACGUAGGGGCAAGCGUUGUCCGGAUUUAUUGGGCGUAAAGAGCGUGUAGGCGGCCUGGUAGGUCAGCUGUGAAAACUCGAGGCUCAACCUCGAGACGCCGGUUGAAACCAUCAGGCUAGAGUCCGGAAGAGGAGAGUGGAAUUCCCGGUGUAGCGGUGAAAUGCGCAGAUAUCGGGAAGAACACCCGUGGCUAAGGCGGCUCUCUAGUACGGUACUGACGCUGAGACGGCGAAAGCGUGGGGAGCGAACGAGG